AACGAACGCUGGCGGCGCGCCUAAUACAUGCAAGUCGAGCGAGAAGACGUAGCAAUACGUUUGUAAAGCGGCGAACGGGUGAGGAAUACAUGGGUAACCUACCCUCGAGUGGGGAAUAACUAGCCGAAAGGUUAGCUAAUACCGCGUACGCUCCUUGGACUUCGGUUCAGGGAGGAAAGCGAUACCGUGGGUAUCGCGCUCUUGGAUGGGCUCAUGUCCUAUCAGCUUGUUGGUGAGGUAACGGCUCACCAAGGCUUCGACGGGUAGCUGGUCUGAGAGGACAAUCAGCCACACUGGCACUGCGACACGGGCCAGACUCCUACGGGAGGCAGCAGUAAGGAAUAUUGCGCAAUGGGCGAAAGCCUGACGCAGCGACCGCC
rnacentral:rRNA from 1 species